UAUUGAACUUAUUACUGUGUCGGUUCAGCUUCCAAGAAACAUGCACCAACGCCGAAAAAAGAAGAAACGCGCCUUUGCAACCUUUGUUCCUAAAGAAAUCAAUGAGUAGAUUCAUCCCUUUCACUUCCAACCAACCUCGGUUCCUAAAAAAUUCAAUACUUUCUCUUUUCCCAUUCAUGAUUCAUCUCAUAUUCAAUGUAUUAAUGUAUCUUUUCAUCGAUUCACUUCUGUUGUUAUAAAUGGUUUCUCUUUUCCCAAAUCUGAGUUAGCACAUCAUCAAUUUCAUCUAUUGGUUUUCCAGUGUUAUAUUCACAGAUUCUCCUCCAAAUUUACGUGUCAGGUUUCAACAGCAUCACAAACUUCUGCUUAUACUCCCUAAUAAUUUAUUCAGGUUGAAUCUUACCGCUCUUUUCCUUGAUUAGGAUGAUUUCUUACCACGGGCAGCCAUCCCAUUGGAAGAUAUAUGGUAUGUUAUAACAUCACAUUAUUUACUACAAACUCUGUUAUUUUAAUGUUAUAACCUAAUGUUGGAGUUUAUUGUCAUGGUAAUUUUAAUGUUGUUUUCUUGGAUUGUUGAGAGAAAGCCUCUCAGGUAUGGCUAAGGAUUCCACAAAGAGCUUACGCACAACUUUCACUGUAAAACCAAAGUUUAAACGCAACGUAUUCGUUUGAUUUUCUAGCAUUUGUUUAUACGGGUGGUACUUUUGAAAUUAAACUUAUACAACCUUUUUUUCGUUUGGCAUUUCAUUUCUUAACAUGGUUUCUACGCAGAUUUGUUCAUAUUUUUGGUAACUAAAAGAGGUUCUAACAGUGUGAUGAUUGGUGGGCUUUUUAGUGUAUAAAUUGUUGGGAAUCACUUCUCUUAUGCUUCAUGUAUGAAAGGAUACUCUUGAAGUAAAUGUGUAUGAAUACACUUUCUCUAUUCAGUUUGUGUUAGUUAUGUCUAUUACAGUUCUUUACAAUUGUCUCACUGUUUCAGCUUAACUGGGAAAUUCAUUCAAUAAUCAUAAUACUAUUGUUAACCAUUCUUAGGUGGGAAACUCUGAUAAUACUGUGUUUGGUGUAGGGUGGUCAAAAGUGCUCUUGAGUACCUUGCAAAAGAUCUCGGAAUCGCGCAAAACACCGUGUUACAAGGGUGGAUUGUCAACAUGUUACUUGCUGGUGCUACUGUUGAUUCGUUUUUGGUUGAACCAGGACUUUUCAAUGAUGUCGGGUUUCGAUGCAUUCACAACAUUGUCAAGCAUGUGUUGGAAUGAUGCCUUUUCCGCAAUGGUCUUCGUCGUGAUUUUAAGUCGUCACAUGCAAUUUAACUUGUGUCUCAUCAUCGGAGCAAAUUACAUAAUGCCGAGAUUAUAAUUUUAAGGGUUAAUGAACUUUUUCGUCCCUUUAAAUAUUGCAGAUUUUGUUUUUAGUCCCUCCAAAAUUUUUCUUUAAGAAAUCGUCCCUUCAAAAUUUUUCUUCCGAACUAUUGGUCCCUAACAUCAAAUUUGGUAGCUAAUCAGUGGCUAAAGUCGUAGCUAAUCUCUAGCAAAUUUGACGUUAGGGACCAAUAGUUUAGACAAAAAAUAUUGAAGGGAUGAUUUCUUAAAGGAAAAUUUUGAAGGGACUAAAAACGAAAUUUGCAAUAUUUAGAGGGACCAAAAAGUUCAUUAACCCUAAUUUUAAUACACACUAUUUCAAUUUCCUACUAAUAAGCAUACAGGUUGACAUUUUGGUUGUCAAAUUGUAUUGUUUUAAGAACAAUUUUGAUUGUCAUCAUAACUGAUAACCAUUUCAAUCAACACUGUCAGCAUGUUUACUUAAGAAAAUUAUGGUUCAAAAUAUAAAUCUAUCCGUUGGUACGACGUGUUUUAUUUUGUCAUCAUAUUUCCCCGGCUACCGUUCCCACUGUGAACAGUUUUAGUAUAAACACUUCUUCAUUAAAACCAUUAAAUUAUAAACAUUGCUUCUGGUUAAUUACAUUUUAAACUAAUGUAUCUUCAAAUACAAAUAAUGCAACAUGUUCUUUUGGUAAACAUAUAUUACCAAGAUACUGUGUUGAAAUUAACAG